rnacentral:rRNA from 1 species
ACAUGCAAGUCGAGCGAGAAGCUUAUGAUUGAAUCUUCGGAUGAUUGAAUAAGUGGAAAGCGGCGGACGGGUGAUUAACGCGUGGGUAACCUGCCCCAUACAAAGGGAUAGCCACUGGAAACGGUGAUUAAUACCAUAUGAGAUCGUAGAGUCGCAUGACUUACCGGUUAAAGAUUUAUCGGUAUGGGAUGGACCCGCGUCUGAUUAGCUAGUUGGUAAGGUAACGGCUUACCAAGGCGACGAUCAGUAGCCGACCUGAGAGGGUGAUCGGCCACACUGGAACUGAGACACGGUCCAGACUCCUACGGGAGGCAGCAGUGGGGAAUAUUGCACAAUGGGCGCAAGCCUGAUGCAGCAACGCCGCGUGAGCGAUGAAGGCCUUCGGGUCGUAAAGCUCUGUCCUCAAGGAAGAAUAAAUGACGGUACUUGAGGAGGAAGCCCCCGGCUAACUACGUGCCAGCAGCCGCGGUAAUACGUAGGGGGCAAGCGUUAUCCGGAAUCACUGGGCGUAAAG